UGCCAGGCGAUAACUCGUGUGCUUUUGGACAAUUUUAGGCAUUUGAAAAUAAAUCUUAUGCUAGUGUAGCCAAUGCAAUCCUAAACUUGCUUCUUAACCAUGUAUCUUCUACAGGUAGCAUUCGGCAGAAAAUAUGUUAUACGUCUCAUUUUUUCCUUUUGUUUAUGUUGCAAAGGUGUACGUAAAUUUGACGCUGUUUGUAAAGGCCAUGCCAUUUCUACUUCUAGCCCUUUUAGUGCAAAAAGUUUUGAAAAAUUCUAGCUCCCCACAGGACUUUUUGAAUUUCUUUUCGGGACACUUUUGGUACAGUGGGGAAAAACUUUCCGUAAUGACUGGACGUAAUGAGCUGACAUGUCAGACUGACAUCUUUUUUUAGGAAGCUAAAGGCAUGGUCCUCUGUUCAUUAUACUGAAAAGAGCUAAUGGAAUUUUCCCCGAUACAAUGAACCUGUGAAUGCCCUACAAAGUGUCUUCUCAAUAGGGGUGGCACAGGGCCCGAAUUUUUUGUCUCCGGGUCGCUAAAACCCCCCAAACGCACCUAUUUCAUGAUGUUGUAUCGGUUAUAAAUCGGACAGAAACCUCUUAUAUUUUAGUAUUAACAGUUGCAGCAUGUUCUCACCUUAAUAUCUGUGAAAGAUUUAUUGAAAUAUCUCAGAAAAUAAGCGAGUAAUCGCCCAUCGGGCGACGCGAGUUUUGCCGACGGCGGCGGGAUGCCCUCCACCCGGGCCCACAUUUCAAAAUGGCCGGUCUUGCUUGAUUCUGAUUUCUGGGCCGUGUGCAAAAGAUCAAGAGGAAAGCUAGCCACCAAUUUGUAGCCGACAAUACCAGCUACAAAAUGACACCAAAAGCUUGCCUGAGAGACUUUCGAGUGAGAAAAUAUUCAGAAGUAAAGUUUUAAAAGUGGAUUAUCUCGGGAAAGUGCCCCUUAAAAAUUUUUUAGCUUUAUAUGAAUUUGAAAAAUUCAGAAGUUUGCCGUUAUUUUGGUACCAGAUUCGCAUAUAUUGGAGCAAAUACAACGCCAGAAAUGUGGGGCUACUUUCACCAUCACCCAUGCUUUGGCAGGGGAAGCCAACAAACAUGGCCGCCGCUCAAGCUGGCAGAUUUUGCACCUGGGAGCGACCCUCACGGUCAGCCAUCUUAUAUAGUAAGAGUGACCGUGUUUGAAAACCUCGUGAGGAUCUCUUGAGGAGUAUCUGGAUUUAAACUCUUUUUCCACACAAGAUUGAAAACCUCUUGGAGAUCACUUGAUACACCAGAUGAUUAUAAAGCUUUUCGUGAGAACGCAUUAGUUCUGGUGUCAAAACUUGAAAACAUUUCAGGGUUUGAGGAUCUGUGAGGAUCUGUUACUCAGCCCGUACUACUUCGGCUCUCUAUGGGGUUUUCGCGUCAUCUUAUAUAUAUCGCAAUAGAGGCCCAGAAUUUCACUUCUGGGUCAAGUAUUUCUCUUCGCAGUUUGACGGAACAGCUUUCAAAAGAUGUUACAGACAUAACGCUUAAUAAAUACGACAUAACAAUUUGGGUAAUUUUUGAGAUAUAACUUUGCACAUGUCUCUGUAUAAACCGGCUUUGCCUAUCUGAUUUGGGGAUACCACAUCACGUAUGUAAGUUACAAUAUUUUUACAGUCAAGGCGUCAUAGAGAGAGAAUAGAUUCCCGAGUAUGAUAGCACACAGUAACGUUACAUGUACUCGAUUCCCACACUAUACGUAAAAAGGAUACAAGACAAUCAUACACCAACACGCACUGUGUACUUGGCUCAAUAAAAGAUACUAAAUUCAGUCCACAGAAAAAAAGUCUCCAGAAUCGUACACAAACAGUAAUACACACUCACUUUCUUCAAUCAGUAGCCUUCUACUGGUUCAAGGCCUGUGUCUGUAGAAUGAUUUUUAUUGCCGGACGGCCAGUUAGUUUGUUCGGCGGCCCAUAAGAGAGUCUGCCCGCCGAUCAAAAAUUAGCGCUCCGAGGAGUAAAAGCCCGAAAGAGCCGGCAAAACUCACUCAGGCCAAGGACGUCCUUGCUCAGGCUAUUGGAUUGGCGGGCAGACUGCAUUGAGUCACCGAAGAAACAGCCUGGCGACCCCUGGGUAAUAACAUUAAGCUUUCAUCUUUUACUGCUAUUUGUGGCAAAAAAAGUACACUUUAUGUUGCUAAAUUCCCUUCUACCACUGCCCUGAACUGCUCUGGAAACACGUAAUGCAAAUGUGACCCGGAAACAGAUUGGCCACGUUCAAUCACCGUGUGUCUCGAAACCCCCAUAUAGAACUAUGUCUUCUCGUGAGGGUCGCUCCCAUAUACACGAUCUCACGCUGGCAAGCUAGGUCGCUCUCAUUUAGACGCGAUUGCGACGGCAUCGGACGAAAGUGCGACCACAACUACAUCCCAAAGGCCAGGGAACACUGCAACUUCUGCAAGCAACUCAGUAGAGGAAGGCUGUCCAAAGAAAAACUGGAAUAAUACUAGCUAAAAUGCUGCUGAGAGGAUGGUGUGAGGACCAGGAAAUAACCAUCACCUGUAUGGUGGCAGAGAUAGAGCAAGGCCCUUCCAUGGAAGAGGGCGUAGUGACCAAAAAAUAAUGCAAUACUUCUGAACCAAAUUAUAUUUUUGAGGCCAGAUUUUUAAUUGGCAUGUGCCAAAGCCCUUGUAUAAGUUAUGUAUAGCAAGUUUUUUUUUUAAGGACAGAGAAAAUAUCGCAUUUUGGCAUAUUUGAACAGCGGACUCGGAUUUUAUUGCCUUGAGUAAUCAAUUAUUCAUAAUUUUGGAAGCAGAUAUGUAACUUUCGUUGUCAUAUUUCAAAUCAGCAUGCCAGAAAACCCCUAUACACCAAGUUUCUUUCUUCUAUCUUGUAGGAUUAUGGAGAUAUUUCAAUAUUGCAUAUUUAAUUAGCUGACUUAGUCUCUGACGGCCAAGGCGCUCUGAGCCCAUGUACGCUUUUUUACCAAUAUUGGCAUAUUUUGUGACAAGAAAAUCUAAGGAAAUAAUGAAGGAACAUUCUAGAAACUUUAUGGACUUGUUAGUAUGGUUGUAAAUAAAGACAAAACAGCUUA